rnacentral:rRNA from 1 species
CCCUUAGAUGUUCUGGGCCGCGCGCGUGCUACACUGAGUGGAUCAGCGGGUCAGGUUACGCGAGAGCGUUUCCUAAUCUUCAAAUCCGCUCGUGAUGGGGAUUGACGGUUGCAAUUUUCCGUCAUGAACGAGGAAUACCUUGUAAGCGCGGGUCAUCAUCCCGCGCUGAAUACGUCCCUGCCCUUUGUACACACCGCCCGUCGCUCCUACCGAUUGAGUGGUCCGGUGAGGCUUUGGGAUCUAAGCGAAAAGAGCGUUUCGCUCCUUUUGCUGGGAGAACUCAGUCGAACCUUAUCAUUUAGAGGAAGGAGAAGUCGUAACA